GCAAAAUGCUAAAAAGAAAAUGUGCAUUCAUCCUAACUGGGGAUGGCUCUUACCUCGGAGUGGCCAGAGCUCCUUACCGAAGGGAAAUGCCGUCUUCAUUUGACCAGCAUUAAUUAAUGACAGGAUUUCCCAGCCAGUCCACACUUGGACUUGAAGUCCCAUUAUACAGGUGUUUCUAGCACUCCAGGAAAACUGUGUAUUGUUCCUCCUCAAAGCCUCCUCGUGCCAUUUUUUGUUGAGGCAGAGAAAUGCUUCAGAGCCAUGUCAGUGCUUUUCAGCAUGCAGCCACAUGGACAAGCCAGCUCCAGGAGCUACAGGUUCCCAGAAAGCCACCUCCCAUCCCCCAGCAAAGCAGAAGCUGAAGGCUCUUCUCACCCACUGCAGCCCCUCACCUUACCUCGCUUCUUUCAGAUAGCAGGCAGAAAGCCUGGCUUUAAAAGAGUUCAGACAGGAAGCAGCAAUGUUCCAGGAGGAUUUCUGAGUCCAUCAGGAGAGCAACUGGCUCCUCAAAGUGUGGAUUUCAGAGAUCCCUAAAAUAUUUGGCUACACUGUUGGAACAGUCAGGACUGAGGAACCAGCACUCCAGAGGACCUGCAGCUCCCCAGCACUCACACCUUCAG